GGCAUGACUGGCUCCAUUCAUUAUAAUGACAUAUGUUUUGCCACUGUUGAAGAGUUUCUUCUACCUCUUCAGAGAGGAUAACCUCAGCAGAUAACAAGGCAAAUCAGUGUUCAUGACAUUGUUCUCAGCAGCUACCAGCUGCUUCAAGUUCUCUCCCCCAUCCCACUAGGCAAGCGCAGUGAGAGAACGGCUGCGUGGUGCAGAGCUGCCUGCAGGGUUAAACCACAACUUCUCACCAUCUGAGACUGUGACAUUCUCCGCUAGAAGGAGAAAUGUAUGUUCCAAUCAAAACAGUCACUUUCAUGGGAACAACUGAAGAAAACUAGGCAUUAAAAGACGAGAAAAAGACAACUCUAGACAAACCAGUACGUUUCUGUCCAUGCACUCUCUUGAGAAAUCAGAAGAUACAGUGAAACUCACAGACAUCAGACAAGUAAAAUAAAGCCUCUAGCAAGGCCACAAUAAGACAUAAUAGCUGCCAGUGAAAUCUAUCACUGUUCAGAGCCCACCUUAACAACAGUGAAGAAAAGGUAAAUCUCCACUCAAAAGAGCUGCACCUGUUAAGAGGAUGAUGAUUUAUCUCCAUGAAAUAUGACUGCAAAUCUUCUAAUAACUUACCUUUCUACCCUUCUAUCAAAACACAUAAGAGUGACAAUCCAGUGGUUAAGGCAAUUAAAUGUCAGCUUCAAAUUUUCAUCAUUUGUAACACUGGGAAAUGAGGUCAAAAACAAAUUAUUCAAAUUCAGAGAUUAAUUUUCAGACACUGUUCUCAAAAUUUUAGUGAGAGCCAACUAUGACACUCAGAAGUCAGUUUACAGGUUUAAUGUACACGGAUCAUAUGCUCAAAUGCUAGAAUGAAAACCGUCUUAGGGUCCAUUUGGGGUUUUGGGUAGAACUGUAUGAAACUGAGAAUUUACAGAUUAUGAGAAAAAUUGGCAUAUUUGUAUUUCAUUUGAAAACUGAAGAAAAGUAGGUUUAGUAUUUUCACCUAUAUUUCAUAUAUAUAGAAUGGCUGCAGAAAAGUUUCAUUUUUAAAUUUCAUGCCUUAAACUUUUUUUCCUUAAGUAUCAAGUCAUUUCAUACCAACACAAAUAGGAACGCUCUGUAUUAAAGGUCAAGUUAUUUCAUUAUAGCCAUCCAUUCAGAGCAGGAAGAAGGGAGUAUCUUUCAAACAUCUUUCAAAAUAUCUUUCAAGACAUUCUGUACUGCAGCUGCCCUUUUUUGAACUUA